rnacentral:tRNA from 1 species
GCCCGGAUGGCGGAAUCGGUAGACGCGUUGGUCUCAAACACCAAUGGGGUAACUCCCGUGCCGGUUCGAGACCGGCUCCGGGUACCA